CUUUGGUGGGGCUAAUGGCAGACUCUGGGAGGGCUCACGCCAAGGAGUACUUCCCAGAACUUCUGCUGCCAGUGUCCUUGUCUUCACAGUGAGGCACAGCCACCCCCUGCCUCUGCGGGAGACCCUCCAACACCAGCAGAACUUCUGGCACGGUGUGAGACAGGCAGCAAGUGUGCAGGAAACAGCUGCCAGACUGAAGGACAGAGAGUCAGCAGAGUUGGUCAUCAUUCCAAAAUGAAAAUGGACAGCCAAGGCAGCAAGGAGGGCUCAUGACAAGUAACACAGAUGAGAACGGGAAGGGAGAGGACAACAGAAGAGAUGAUCAUCACCAAACUGGGAAAGAUGCACUGGAGUUUAUAAAUAUAGAUGCCACACAGCACACUGUGCACCAGCCUUGUCAAAUAAGUAGGCCU